rnacentral:lncRNA from 1 species
AGUUCAAAAGGCUCAUUUUCUCAUAGAGUUUGAGGCCAUUUUUGUGAGUGGAGGAACUUGAGGUUUUAGGAAUUUUAUUUAAAUCAUGGAGAUAUUUUCGACUCGAAUGGCUCUUAACUUUGAUCUUGGGUCUAGGCUGCCUGGUUGAAACUACUACUGGUUUUCUUUCUUUUUUUUUUUUUGAGAUGGAGUUUCGCUGUGUUGCCCAAGCUGGAGUGCGAUGGCGCAAUCUCGGCUCACUGCAACCUCCGCCUCCUGGGUUCAAGCAAUUCUCUUGCCUCGGCCUCCCAAGUAGCUGGGUUUACAGGCAUGUGCCACUAUGCCUGGCUAAUUCUUUUUGUGUUUAGUAGAGUUGGGUUUUCGCCAUGUUGGUCAGGCUGGUCUAGAACUCCCGACCUCAGGUGAUCCACCCACCUCUGCCUCCCAGUGCUGGGAUUACAGGCGUGAGCCACUGUGCCCAGCGAACCUACUGGUUGGUUUUCAAGAGUUGCAUCACUUUAACUGGAACAUAUCGGAAGAGUGGGACCAGAUUUUAAGAGACCCAGACACAUGCAAAUGG